UGUGUAUUCACCAAGCAGUACCCCAUAUAUCAUCUGUGGACAUUUUAAAGAAACCAUAGAAAUGUCUAAAAAGCCUCUGAAGAAGGAGCUGAGGAUAAUCUGGAGGUACCUUUCCAACUCUGUUGUGCUGUGGUUCCAGGAAAGUUCCUGAACAUAGAAAUACUGCCUUCACUCAUAGUGUUUUUCACAGAUCCAUUUUUGAAGAAAGGGUCAGUGUGACAUAGUGGAAAUUAGCGUUUCACUCCAAACUCUGAGAAAGAGCCUAAAUCCACAGACAUUCAAAAACAGGGCAAGUACACAUGCUGCAAGGACAUGGAUUAUCUGAAGACUCCAGUGGACUGGAGAGCAUGAAUUCUAAAUCAAAAUGGUAACUGCUACACUGUUCGCAUGUCACUAAACGCAUCAUGUAGCCCACAGUGAGCUGCCAGAAGCAAGAAGGCAGGUCCUGACAAUCCUGAGAACAUCCACUGACUUUCUUACUCAAACAUUCAUUUAUAUGGCAGUUUCUCUCAUCUGAACCAUCGCCACAGUCAUCCUUAUUGUCACAAAGACCUCCGCUGGGAAUGCACCUGCCAUUUUUGCACAUAAAAAAUGAACUGUUGCAUGACUGUUCUGGAAAAAGAAAACAAAUGGAACAUAAAGGGCAUGCCUUUUUAUACUAUAGUUGGUGAAAAUAUUCACAAAUAUAAUAACUUAUCUGUCAAAUUAUAAUAAAUAUAUUUACACUUAAAAUAA